UACGUAGGUGGCAAGCGUUGUCCGGAUUUAUUGGGCGUAAAGCGCUCGCAGGUGGUCCGAUGCGUCGUGCGUGAAAGACCCCGGCUCAACUGGGGGGUGUCGUGCGAUACGGGCGGACUGGAGGCCAGUAGGGGGAUGCGGAAUUCCGGGUGUAGUGGUGGAAUGCGUAGAGAUCCGGAGGAACACCAGCGGCGAAGGCGGCAUCCUGGACUGGUCCUGACACUCAUGAGCGAAAGCGUGGGGAGCGAUCCGG
rnacentral:rRNA from 1 species